rnacentral:rRNA from 1 species
UGGGGAAUCUUGGACAAUGGGGGCAACCCUGAUCCAGCCAUGCCGCGUGAGUGAUGAAGGCCUUAGGGUCGUAAAGCUCUUUCGCCUGUGAAGAUAAUGACGGUAGCAGGUAAAGAAACCCCGGCUAACUCCGUGCCAGCAGCCGCGGUAAUACGGAGGGGGUUAGCGUUGUUCGGAAUUACUGGGCGUAAAGCGCACGUAGGCGGACCAGAAAGUUGGGGGUGAAAUCCCGGGGGCUCAACCCCGGAACUGCCUCCAAAACUAUUGGUCUAGAGUUCGAGAGAGGUGAGUGGAAUUCCAAGUGUAGAGGUGAAAUUCGUAGAUAUUUGGAGGAACACCAGUGGCGAAGGCGGCUCACUGGCUCGAUACUGACGCUGAGGUGCGAAAGUGUGGGGAGCAAAACAGGAUUAGAUACCCUGGUAGUCCACACCGUAAAACGAUGAAUGCCAGUCGUCGGGGUAGCAUGCUAUUCGGUGACACACCUAACGGAUUAAGCAUUCCGCCUGGGGAGUACGGUCGCAAGAUUAAAACUCAAAGGAAUUG